rnacentral:rRNA from 1 species
UACGGGGGGAGCAAGCGUUGUUCGGAUUUACUGGGCGUAAAGGGCGCGUAGGCGGCGUGACAAGUCACUUGUGAAAUCUCCGGGCUUAACUCGGAACGGUCAAGUGAUACUGUCGUGCUAGAGUACAGAAGGGGCAACUGGAAUUCUCGGUGUAGCGGUGAAAUGCGUAGAUAUCGAGAGGAACACCUGCGGCGAAGGCGGGUUGCUGGGCUGAUACUGACGCUGAGGAGCGAAAGCCAGGGGAGCAAACGGG